UGGUCAUUACCAAGGCUUUGAGAAUGCAGUUUCUCAUUUGCUGUGGACAUGACCAUAAAAAAAUUUUCCCACUAGGUUUUCUUUCUUUCUGCUACUUUGCUAGCAUUCAGCCUAUUGGGAACAUUU
rnacentral:snoRNA from 1 species